UGCUGGGGGAGGGAGAAACCCCAAGAGAGCAGUUCAGGCACUGCAGGAACAGUUCAUUUCUCUGCCCUCCUUCUUCCUUUGCUCCCCCAAGACAGUGGUUUCUGGCAGCUCUGUUCUCUCGGGGCUGGCAGCUGGUUUCUGACUCUCUCAGCAAACAGGCAGGUUGGUCUCAGCAUGAACCUCGGCUGUCUCGUCCUCACUGUCUGCCUGGGCCACCUCCUGGGCACCAUGGGGCAGGUCGUUGUCACCCAGGAAGAUGGAGAAGUCCUGGUGAAGCAGAAAGGCCUCUUCCAGACCACCUGUACAUACCAGACCAGUUACUUUAAUGGAUUGUCGUGGUACCAGCAGAGGAAAGGACAAGCCCCACAGCUGCUCUCAUUCCAGUCAGGGGCCGGCCAGAGGCAGAGCGGCCGUAUCAGCACGGAGCUGAACACCACGGGGAAAUCCAGUGUCCUGCAGGUGGAGGAAGUGGAGGUCUCUGACAGUGCCUUGUACCUCUGUGCUGUGCGAGCCACCCUGGUGCAGGGAGCUUCCUGGGCUGUGCAACAAGCCAGGGGAGGGAGGGGAUGUGUCUGGGCAAGGCUGAGCUUGGGGAAAGGGACCCUCGGCUGCCCCCUGGCAGCGCUGCUUCCCCUGGACACCCAGAGAUCUGCAGGCUGA